rnacentral:rRNA from 1 species
UACGAAGGGGGCUAGCGCUGCUCGGAAUCACUGGGCGUAAAGCGCACGUAGGCGGACUCUUAAGUCGAACGUGAAAUCCCCGGGCUCAACCCGGGAACUGCGUCCAAUACUGGCAGGCUUGAAUCCGGGAGAGGGAUGCGGAAUCCAGGUGUAGCGGUGAAAUGCGCAGAUAUCAGGAGGAACACCGGUGGCGAAGGCGGCGACCUGGUCCAUUACUGACGCUGAGGCGCGACAGCGUGGGGAGCAAACAGG